UACAGAGGUCUCAAGCGUUGUUCGGAAUCACUGGGCGUAAAGGGCGCGUAGGCGGCUUUAUAAGUCGGGGGUGAAAGCCUGUGGCUCAACCACAGAAUUGCCUUCGAUACUGUAGAGCUUGAGACCGGAAGAGGUAAGUGGAACUGCGAGUGUAGAGGUGAAAUUCGUAGAUAUUCGCAAGAGCACCAGUGGCGAAGGCGGCUUACUGGUCCGGUUCUGACGCUGAGGCGCGAAAGCGUGGGGAGCAAACAGG
rnacentral:rRNA from 1 species